rnacentral:rRNA from 1 species
UACGUAGGGUGCGAGCGUUAAUCGGAAUUACUGGGCGUAAAGCGUGCGCAGGCGGUUCGUCGUGUCCGAUGUGAAAGCCCCGGGCUCAACCUGGGAAUGGCAGUGGAAACUAGGGGACUGGAAUCUGGCAGAGGGGGGUGGAAUGCCGCGUGUAGCAGUGAAAUGCGUAGAGAUGCGGCGGAACACCGAUGGCGAAGGCAGCCCCCUGGGAUGAGAUUGACGCUCAGGCACGAAAGCGUGGGGAGCGAACAGG